rnacentral:lncRNA from 1 species
GACGUCUUGUCUGCUAUUACAACUUUUCAUAUACGACGUUUUUGUUUAAUUAUGUUAUAUUAUCAUAAUUUUAAGUGCCAAAUUCACCUCGAAGCAGUAAAAUUUGAUGUCGCUCCAAUGCGAAUCCGGUAUCGUGUAACUGGGGCUAAGUAUACACUUAAUCUGUGACCAUUGUGUUGCAUUGUCUUACUACAGUACUUGAGAAGAGAUAAAGCAAACGUUUAAGUAAUGGAUAAACUAUGUAUUUAUACUUUUACAUCUAUGCUACAAUAUUUUCCUACUUUACAAUAAAACAAUUUGCAACAGAUUUUACUUUAUUAAUUGCAUACACCUGAUCACGAAAAGUUAAAAUUUACAAUGAAAAACUGCAUCGGAUGCAAGAUAAUUUUAUACGAAGCAAGUGUAAAUGCAUUCCUUUAGUUGCUGAUGUGUUUUAGUUGUUUAUUAAUUAAUAAUAAUUCACGAAAAAAACACAAAGGAAAC